rnacentral:lncRNA from 1 species
AGUGCUGACGGCUGUGAUAUAAAGACACGAUUCCGACGCAUUUUCAAAAGAGUUUAAUUCUGAGAAGCAGGCAUUCCUCAGAUGUUUCAAACCAGUUACUCUCGAUGGACAAGUCGUCAGCGGUGUGGCCCUUCUUCCCGAUGUUGCGGUCAUAUUAAUAAAUGGAAAAGAAUUCCAAUUUCUAAAACAGGUUCAGCGAACAGAGAAAAGGAUAAACCCGGUGGAGGAAGCUCUGAGGUUCGUUUUAUGACAUCAUGACCCUGAAGAUAUAUGCGAAAAAUAUAUCAACGAUUUUAUAGGUCGAGGUGUUUUUGCCAAAAAGAAAAUGAUCAAAAAUGGAAAAUUCCUUGCGGAAUACCAUGGCGUUUUAUCCAAAGCUGACGACAUGAAGGACAAAGAUACAAACUACACAUAUUUCUUUGACUUUAAUGGUGUCAAGUACUGGUAUGUAAAAUAUUUCAACCUUUAAAUAAUACAAGCCUUUAAAUUCAAGCUACAAAAUUGGAUAUCAAACGCAAAGGCGGAUCUGUGUCUGUUUUAGAAUAAGGUAAUCAAAGUCAAGACAGUACUGUGUA